AUUGCACUAAUGACACUCAGCCGCCAACUUAAAAAGUGAAGCAGAAAUCCCAACAAUGAUUUCUCCCUUUCAAACUGUUAACUUUGUUUCAAAAUUAUUUGUAGCUUGAUCUUCAAGUCCUUCAAUACCAUACCAAUUUUCACCUUAAUCCGAUUGAUAGAGCUUCAAAUAUCAUAGAAACUCUACCCAACCUCAAACUGCUACCUUCCAAAAUCCUCUUGUGCUAAGAACUAGAUAUCUCUAAACCACGUCAUUAGAUUAUCACAAAAUUUUGUAUAUACUUAGCACAUACAAUAAUCCAAAUAGUGUCAAGUUUUCAACCAUAGAUGUUACACCAAUUGCACGAACUAGCCAAAAUUGCUAGCUCUAAUUAUAUUAUAUAAAACCCGAAUCAUUGAUACAAAUCCUAACUUUGAACAACAAUUGCUAAGUCC
rnacentral:lncRNA from 1 species